rnacentral:lncRNA from 1 species
AAACGUAUCAGUUAUUCGGGGAUCGGGGACCCUUCGGGGAUCCCCUCAAGAAAUUUCUAAUGGGGACGGGGAAGGGAUGGAGAUAUAUGCAGAAUAUCGGGGAUGGGUGCGGGAAUGUCAGUCCCCUCCCCUUCACUCCCCUCCCCACCCCAUUGCCAUCCCUAUGAGACCCAAACCUUUGAUGUUAGCAAAGGGAGUGUAAAAAUGGUAUUUUUUAAAGAGCAAUGUUAAGGAUUUUAAUAUUUAAAUUUCAACCAAUUUAGUAUUCAUCAAUUAGAUAGCAGAAUAGAAUAACAAGUAAUUUUACAUUUAUCAUCUAAUAAAUGAGUAAAACAUAAUAUUGGACUUAAAUUAAUACUCAAAUGUUAGGAUCUUUAGUGUUAUUACUUUUGAAAAGGUAGGAAAAUAAUAAAUUUGGAAGGUCUCUGUUACUUUUUGAAUUUUAUUAUUAGGACGGAGAAUUGGUAAUUUCCCAUUAUUUUUCAGUUUUAAUCCUUGUUUGCUUCUUUUUGUAUUUUGAGAAAUCUCAGGGAUUCAAUUGAAAUUCUCGCCAUUAAAUGAUAUGGACAAAAUCACAGCUCUAUUUCAAAGGUUGAAUUUGCUGUUUUUGGUUGUUUCCAUAAUUGCAACGGUUACUUAAGUUUUUGCUUUUGUCAUUAUUUUAGUUGGUAUUCCAUAUUUAAGAAAUACAGUGGUUUCAAAUGACAUUUGUCCAACAGAAGGCCUAGUGGAAUUGAUUUCCAGGCCCAUUUUUGCCCAUGGUUUUAAAUGCUCAAAUUUAUUUUUAGGUCUCACUAAGUAGACUAAUUUCUUUAUAUAUUUUUAAG